GAUGAACGCUGGCGGCGUGCCUAAUACAUGCAAGUCGAGCGAACAGACGAGGAGCUUGCUCCUCUGACGUUAGCGGCGGACGGGUGAGUAACACGUGGAUAACCUACCUAUAAGACUGGGAUAACUUCGGGAAACCGGAGCUAAUACCGGAUAAUAUAUUGAACCGCAUGGUUCAAUAGUGAAAGACGGUUUUGCUGUCACUUAUAGAUGGAUCCGCGCCGCAUUAGCUAGUUGGUAAGGUAACGGCUUACCAACGCAACGAUGCGUAGCCGACCUGAGAGGGUGAUCGGCCACACUGUAACUGAGACACGGUCCAGACUCCUACGGGAGGCAGCAGUCGGGAAUCUUCCGCAAUGGGCGAAUGCCUGACGGUGCAACGCCGCGUGAAGGCUGAACGUCUUCGGCUCGUAAAACUCUGUUAUUAGGGAAGUACAAAUGUGUAAGUACCUAUGCACGUCUUGACGGUACCUAAUCAGAAAGCCACGGCUAACUACGUG
rnacentral:rRNA from 1 species